rnacentral:rRNA from 1 species
AACCUGCCGCUUACUCGGGGAUAGCCUUUCGAAAGAAAGAUUAAUACCCGAUGGUAUAAAGAGUUCGCAUGUUCUCUUUAUUAAAGAAUUUCGGUAAGCGAUGGGGAUGCGUUCCAUUAGAUUGUUGGCGGGGUAACGGCCCACCAAGUCUACGAUGGAUAGGGGUUCUGAGAGGAAGGUCCCCCACAUUGGAACUGAGACACGGUCCAAACUCCUACGGGAGGCAGCAGUGAGGAAUAUUGGUCAAUGGACGAGAGUCUGAACCAGCCAAGUAAGCGUGAAGGAUGACUGCCCUAUGGGUUGUAAACUUCUUUUAUAAGGGAAUAAAGUGAGGGACGUGUCCCUUUUUGUAUGUACCUUAUGAAUAAGGAUCGGCUAACUCCGUGCCAGCCGCAGC